UACGGAAUGUGCAAACGUUAUUCGGAAUCACUGGGCUUAAAGAGUCCGUAGGCGGCAUGUUAGGUGAGGUGUGAAAAUCCCCCCGGCUCAACCGAGGAAUUGCGCUUCAAACCGGCGUGCUUGAGGAAGAUAGAGGUGGGCGGAACUGAUGGUGGAGCGGUGAAAUGCGUUGAUAUCAUCAGGAACACCGGAGGCGAAGGCGGCCCACUGGGUCUUUUCUGACGCUGAGGGACGAAAGCUAGGGGAGCGAACGGG
rnacentral:rRNA from 1 species